GAUGAACGCUGACAGAAUGCUUAACACAUGCAAGUCUUUGGCGAAGCUGUGCUUGCACAGCCUAGCCAAGGCGGACGGGUGAGUAACGCGUAAGGAACUUGCCCUGCAGUCAGGGAUAACAGACGGAAACGACUGAUAAGACCUGGUAAAGUCAGGCGGACUCAUGUCCAGCCUGAUGAAAAGAGAUGCUGCAGGAGAGCCUUGCGUCCUAUUAGCUUGUUGGUGAGGUAACGGCCCACCAAGGCGAUGAUAGGUAGCCGGCCUGAGAGGGUGGACGGCCACAAGGGGACUGAGAUACGGCCCUUACUCCUACGGGAGGCAGCAGUGGGGAAUAUUGGACAAUGGGGGCAACCCUGAUCCAGCAAUUCUGUGUGCACGAUGAAGGUUUUCGGAUUGUAAAGUGCUUUCAGCAGGGAAGAAAAAAUGACGGUACCUGCAGAAGAAGCGACGGCUAAAUACGUG
rnacentral:rRNA from 1 species